AUACAGAGGGUGCGAGCGUUAAUCGGAAUUACUGGGCGUAAAGCGCGCGUAGGCGGCUUAUUAAGUCAGAUGUGAAAUCCCCGGGCUCAACCUGGGAACUGCAUCUGAUACUGGUAAGCUAGAGUUUUGGAGAGGGAAGUAGAAUUUCAGGUGUAGCGGUGAAAUGCAUAGAUAUCUGAAGGAAUACCAGUGGCGAAGGCGGCUUCCUGGCCUAAAGCUGACGCUGAGGUGCGAAAGCGUGGGUAGCAAACGGGAUUAGAAACCCCAGUAGUCC
rnacentral:rRNA from 1 species